rnacentral:lncRNA from 1 species
GGAACCCGAGGCGAGAGAUCACCUCGCGGCGGAGCGGGGGAGGGACAUCUCCUCCCCCCAGCACACGGCCUGUCCUCGGCUCCCCUCCGCCGGGCACGCGGCGGAGGCGGCGGCCCGCGAAGGUGGUCUCGCUUUAUUGCAAGGGCAAACCUGCUGAUGCGCCGCCGCCUCCGCCGGGGCAGGCGAACCUGGCCGGCAGCACCGAGGCGGGGGCGUUUGGGGAGGGAGGAGGUCGUAGGGGAGAGCCGAGCACGUAAAGUGGAUAGGUAAAUAACCAGCGACAAGCAUGGAACUGACCAGAAAAAGGUGGCAUUUAAGUCCAGCUCUCACCUCAUCAUGUGCUGUCUACUGUUUAAAACUAAAGGCCUCAACUGCAAUAGAAGCAGGCGUGGCAGGAGGGAGCCUGAGCUUUCCGGUGGAACACAUGACAGCAGGGACCUGCUCCAGGUAACUGAAGGGGGCCAUGUAGAGAGGACACGCAGGAGGGCCUCUGCCAGGCUCAUAAAAAGUGGGUUCAUUGAAAGGGGGAAAUUUCACACUAUGGUUCCUUUUCUCUCCAGCGCAGCCCUCUACUUUCAGGCACACUGGUCUAGAAUAUGCUCCUUACAUUUUUCAGAAGCUUUUGUAAUUUUUCCAGAACAUAAUCUCAAACUAACAUAA